GAGGGAGGGCGGGGUGCCCGCGCGCAGGACGGGACGCCAGGGUUUGUGUGGGGGCAGCUCGGAGAGGUACGAGGGUCCUAGGACAGGUUUGAGAGGCCCCUCUGCCUAUUUCCCCUCCAGCGCCUGGGGGCGCCCUCUAGCCCCAGAGACCCGCCUCUUAGCUCUUCUUUUCCUAAAACCCAGCCCCGCAGCCCUCGCCGGACCCAGUUAAGCCGGAACUGAAAGACCAGAAACCAGCCUGCCCUAGUCAAAGAAAGUUAGGGCCCAACCAGCCUCUCCCCAAGAAGCAGGGUAAGGUGGGGCAUUCAUCUCUCUGGACCCUUUUCCCCAGCCUGAGCCAGCCUUUGGGUGAGUUUCCUGCUAUUGGGAAAAUUCCUCCUCCAGUCUAACUAUGAUCACUUACAGUGAAGUUCAUUUCUGCCUCUCAGGGUCUCCCAUUUCUCUGGAGAAACCAGAAGCACAGAGAGGCCUGGGACAGAGCCUUCGGUUAGCAGGGUCCUGCCUGAUUCUGGCCCCAAAGGGCGUGGGAGAAGAAGGGAGGGAGGGGAGACCCAACCCAGAUCCAGCAGUUCUCUGCCCUGGCUCAGCAGUGGGGCCAGGCUGCAGGUUUCAAGCCCAACUCAGCACUCUUGUAGGUGCCAAUUUUAGCCUCUGCCACUAUUUUUGGGCUCCACUACCUCACCACUGGCUGAGCUGGUUGGGCUCCUCACCCCCAGCACUACCCCCACACUGCCCCUCCGGCUUCCCCUCCUUCCUAGCAACUCCUUCACCUCCUUCUUCACCCAUUCCCCUGUUUAGAAUCCUUAAAUAGCAAAGACCAGGAAAAAGGAAGAGGAAAUAAACCGUGCCCAGUUCAGGCUGGAUGGACAUUAGAAAGCAGGAAGGACUUCCCCAGGGCCACAGCUUGUUCUUCCUGGCUUGCACCUGCCAAGUAUACCUACGGGGAGGGUGUAGGAACUCCCCCAAACCAAGAGGCCUGAGGCUCCUGGCCCCAGAACUCCAGACUCACCUCCCCUGAGGUGGGCAGCCAAGACUCAGGAAUGUACUAAAUUUAAAAACAGACAGCCAGAGGCUAGAAUCUUGGCCUCAAGGUUCCACCCACUGGAGGCCCAGAGACAAGAUCUGGGGUGGGACCUCAGCUUCUCUCCCAGGCCUGGGGCAGGAGGGUGCUGCAAGCUAUGGAUAGAAUCUUAAAGGGCCACACUCCAGCCUGGGUACCCAGGAAACAUAGAAUUUGAACCCUGGGGUUUUUCAAGCGACCUCAUGGUCCCUCAACUCAACUAAGAAGGUCUCUAUGAAAGAAGAGGACCCGACCCUCCAACUCUUUUCUGUCUCCCACCCCAACCUUCAGUCUACUUUCCAUCCCACCUGCUGUUACCCUACCCCUCACCCUAUGCCCUCUUCUUCCCCUUAGGAGAUGAAUAACAAGGAAAGGGACUAGGGACAGGGAAAAGAAAAGUGUUCUGCCUUUAAAAACACCUGUGUUUAGUGAGCUUGGCCUGCAGCUUGACUCAGUUUCCGUUUUCUAUAUCCUCUUGAACAAUGAACACUUUUCCCUUCUCCUUGGUGUCACCUGCCCCCCUUUUCCAAGACCCUUCUUCAUUCCAGCGCCCCCUCUACUCCUAUCCAGUGAUAUCUUCCAGAUUUUCAGAAAUAAUUUUUUAGAUACACAGAAACAAACAUUUCUACCAGGAUCUAAAAAUAGCCAUCACCUUCUUUAGCCCAUUUAACUUGACGAAAUGUGUCCCUCCCAUUUCAGGGGUAGGGAGGAGGUCCCAGGGAAGAACCUGGUUGCCAAAGUCUCGGCCAGUUGGAGAAGAGAUGGGUCUCCCGAGGAUACCCAAGCCCAAGCUCUACACUGUCCCAAGGUGGUUUGUUUUUCUUCUUUCUUCUAUUGGUCUGGACCUUGUAUAUUCUGGGAGGAGGUGAUUAAGGCCAAAUUGCCUUAAGUGGCCAUCCAGCCAGAAGCUGGAAGAAGGGAAGGAUGAGAGGGAAUGAACUGUUGUGUUACGGCUAUUGAGAGAAACAGUGGCAAUACACAGCCAAAGCCCUGAGUUUCUAAUACGGCGCCACCUCUUAUGAGCUGUGAGAUCUUGGGCAAAGUAACUAACCUUUAAGUAUUUGUCUGUAGAAUUGAGAUUGAAAUACUUAUCUUUGCCAGAAUUGUUAUAAGAAUUAAAUGAGUUGAAAGUGUUUCAUCAAGUGUGCAAUGCUACUCAAGUAGGAGGGACUAAGCUACUUCCUUCUCUCACUGCUUGACUGAGCUUCUCUCCAGCCCCACCCCCUGAUGUUUACUGCUUAUGGAGAAAGAGAUUAAGUGAAGCAGGCCCACACAUUCAUGAAGGUGGAAGGAAGAUGUAGCAGGAGAUGGUGGAGAGGGAAACAGAGGAAGACAGGAUGACAGACGUGGGGAGGAAAGGCUGAGCGAGGCAAUGUCCUGACUCACUCUGGCGCUUCCCUCUUUCCCAUCUGGGCUCCAGAGUCUCUGCCCUCAUUCCCCUUCACCAGGUUGCUCAACCCUCCAUCAGACUGUUAGGUCAAGGGUGGACAAACAGACCAACCGGGAUCUGGAUGGCCCCUGGGCAGUACUGACUUCCCCUACCAUUCCCAUGGCAAGAAAAGGGAGUGAUUCCACUAGCAGACUCCCCUACCCUGCAGUGAGACAGCCUGUAGGAAGCCUCAACUCCCGACCCAUGGCCUGUGGUGAGAGGUGCUAACAACAUGACCUGCUUUCAUCUUGACCUUCCCAGCCCACCCAGAGAAAAGGGAAUCUUGGCUAAAAAAAGGCUGGAAGAGGGGAGAACCCUGGCACUGCGGGUGGGGCUGGGAGGAGCCCAGGCAACCUUACUGGUGAGAAUCUCAUGGCUCUUCAAGCUGACUGCUAAGCUGGAUGCGUAGGGGAAAGCAGAGAAAAGGUGAUUUACUGGGACACAGAGACACAGGCUGGAAGAGAUAGCAUGUGUUUCCUUAAAAUUUGAAGCAUUUGGCUGGGCACAGUGGCUCACACCUGUAAUCCCUGCACUUUGGGAGGUAAAGGCAAGAGGAUUUCCUGGGCCCAAGAGUUAGAGGCUGCAGUGAGCUAUGAUUGUGCCAUUGUACUCCAGCCUGGGAGACAGAAACCCCCUCUCUUAAAAAAAUAAAAAAAUAAAAAAUGGAACCAUUGCUCUGAGUUUCUAAUAGGGGGAGU
rnacentral:lncRNA from 10 species